GACGGAGGGUGCUAGCGUUGUUCGGAAUCACUGGGCGUAAAGGGCGCGUAGGCGGCCUUCUAAGUCGAACGUGAAAUCCCUGGGCUCAACCCAGGAACUGCGUCCGAUACUGGAAGGCUUGAAUCCGGGAGAGGGAUGCGGAAUUCCAGGUGUAGCGGUGAAAUGCGUAGAUAUCUGGAGGAACACCGGUGGCGAAGGCGGCAUCCUGGACCGGUAUUGACGCUGAGGCGCGAAAGCCAGGGGAGCAAACGGG
rnacentral:rRNA from 1 species